rnacentral:rRNA from 1 species
CCUGGAGGAAGGUGGGGAUGACGUCAAAUCAUCAUGCCCCUUAUGCUUAGGGCUACACACGUGCUACAAUGGGUAGUACAGAGGGUUGCCAAGCCGUAAGGUGGAGCUAAUCCCUUAAAGCUACUCUCAGUUCGGAUUGUAGGCUGAAACUCGCCUACAUGAAGCUGGCGUUACUAGUAAUCGCAGAUCAGAAUGCUGCGGUGAAGGCGUUCCCGGGUCCUGUACACACCGCCCGUCCCACCACGGGAGUUGGAGCCGCCCGACGCCGCUUAUCUGACCGUUUGGAGGAAGUCGUCGAAGGUGGAAUUAAUAACUGGGGUGAAGUCGUAACAAGGUAGCCGUAUCGGAAGGUGCGGCUGGAUCAC